UUUUUAAGUUUUUGAGAGCUUAAAAUAAUUUAAGGGGCUGGAGAGAUGGCUCAGCAGUCAAGAGCAUUUGUUGCUCUUGCAGAGAACCCAGGUUGGCUUCCAGCAUGCACAUUGCAGCUCACAAGCCUCUAUGGCUCUCAGUCUCGGGCCUGCAAUGCCCUUUUCCAACCUCUUAUAGUCCCUGCAUCCAAACAGUGCAAAAUCCACAUGUGCAGGCAAAACGCUCACACAUAUAAAAACACAUUAUUUUAAAUAAAAUAAUAUACGAAUGAAUUUAUUAAGUCAUAAACAGACACACUAAAUAGAUAGAAUAUUUACACUGAUUUUUCCCAAAACAUGGCAAAGCCCAUUUUAUGCAACAUCAGAAAGCAGAACUUUGAGCUAAAACACUGCUACUGCCCCCAGCUGAACAGGUAAUGUCAUGCACACAUCUGACUGAAAGGCACCAGUCACAUGUUCACCAUGUAGAUGUGUCCCUCUGGGUCCUCUACAGAAUUCGCAGUACACCCUGCAGAGCUUCUUGGGAUGUAAAUCAAACCCGUGCCAAACGUUGCUUAACCUUUCCAUUAGAUACAUAAAUAAUUAAAUAACUAUGCUUCAUUAACCAACUUUACAGUGCGUCAGUCACCCGAAGGUAUUGUUCAAACACAGACCACAGGGUCCCACCCUCAGACUUUAUGAUUCAGUUCAGUCUGGGGCGCAGCCAGUCACUGACAACAGUGGCUUAGAUAACUUCUCGCCCCCUGAGAGCUAGCUUGAAAAUAAAGACAAAUGACUGAUGGGGCCCCGGCCACAGCAGCAGACAAAGGAAAAAAGUGGGUUCUGUACUUCCAAAUAUUUUCAAUCUAGAAAAAGGCUUACAGGCUGUGAAGAUGAAGAACAUAUGUGAAAUUUUCAAAGAAUACAAAAAAUAAAAUUUUUAAUCUUUAAAAGGCAGAAACUGAAGGCUGACUAUAUUUCACAAGUAAAUUAUCCAGGAGGUGAAAGACCCCUUCUUUACUGACUCUAGAUCCUUCCAACAACAAGCUAAGGUGCUGACAACCAUUCCUUGUCCCGCUGCAUGGCACAAGCGUGAGACCAUUACCUUUCUGAUUCCUUGUAAACAGUCAAGGACGGUGAGGUUGUAAGUGCAGUUUCCAAAAGAUGCAUCCCUACAAGCACAAACAGACGGCAUUAGAAACACGAAUCCAGAUCUUCAAAUGACAGAACACCAAGACAGUCGGCAUGCUGGCUGGAUCUGACAGCAGACAGAGGAGCCUGAGCCUUUAUUCAGAUUUCCACCCUUCACAUCAUGGGCACACGCUUGAAUGAGUUACUUUUCCCAUCUGAACCUUGCUUUCCUUGGAUGUGAAAUGAAGUUAAUGACAGGGGCUAUCCUCCACAGGACUGGUUGGUAGGUGCCAUAAAAAAAUGGUGUAAGGUCUUCUGUGUAGCUCUUGGUACAGCAGAAGCACUUCAAUAGUCUGCCUACUAUUAUUGUUGGGAGCGUGGGGACUGACACAAUCUUGUUAUACAAUCCAAGCUGACCAGGAGUUACACUGUAGACCAGGCUGUUGUGUCAGGGGAGCCACCUCCUCUCAGGCACCACUGAACCCAAGCCUGGAAAGGUAUGGAGUCAGGGGACUAGGGGGUGGGACAACAUCUGCAGGUCAAGAGAACCUUGUAGUUAUUUUAACGCAUACACGCCGUCCCUCCACUGCAAAGAAGAAACUCAGUAAAAUGUAGUAAGAAUCCCCAAUUUACUGGGAUCAAUAAGCGUUCUGAAUGUAUUAUAAAGUGCUCUCAAAAAGACUAGGGACCAAAAUGAAAAAUUAUUUAAUAUUAUGUAUUAUUAUUUGUGUGUAUGCCUGAGGCACAUGCUGGGAAUUGAAUUUGGGUCUUCCCUAAGAACAAUAUAUGUUCUUAACCACGGAGUCAUCCUCUCCAACCCAAAACAAGGUUUCUAGUUAAAAAUAACGCUUAAAUCUACUGUCCUGAAAAUUGAAGACUCCAUACUGUUUUGUAGAGCAGCUCAACACGGCUCUGUUUCAGGCAACCUAAAACUCAAGUAUCAAGUUCGGGUCAGCUAAGCAAGAACCGGUCGUGGAGCUUUAACAGGAGCAAUGCUCCAAAGUGUCCCCAGCAGGAAACUUGACCCUGAGUGUCUCAGUCCCUUAGCUGGGCCCCACUGCUGACCAAAGAAAGAGAGCUGUCAAGCGCUGAGCCUGGCACAGUCACACGUCCUAAACAAGGUUGGCUCAAGGGCAGCAUCCCAGGACGGUGCCAGGAGAACCCUGCCUUUCACACAUAAUCAACACAAAACCAUGUGUUGUAGCACCAGCUAUCCCAGGGAGCUCGAACCUUGGCUUCACGGUCCCAUGGCUUCUAAGCCACGAGUUUAAAAAAAACAACAAACAACAACAACAAAAUAAAAACCCACACAUUUCACCAC
ensembl:antisense